rnacentral:rRNA from 1 species
AGAGUUAGAUCCUGGCUCAGGACGAACGCUGGCGGCGUGCCUAAUACAUGCAAGUCGAGCGGACAGAUGGGAGCUUGCUCCCUGAUGUUAGCGGCGGACGGGUGAGUAACACGUGGGUAACCUGCCUGUAAGACUGGGAUAACUCCGGGAAACCGGGGCUAAUACCGGAUGCUUAUUUGAACCGCAUGGUUCAAAUAUAAAAGGUGGCUUCGGCUACCACUUACAGAUGGACCCGCGGCGCAUUAGCUAGUUGGUGAGGUAACGGCUCACCAAGGCAACGAUGCGUAGCCGACCUGAGAGGGUGAUCGGCCACACUGGGACUGAGACACGGCCCAGACUCCUACGGGAGGCAGCAGUAGGGAAUCUUCCGCAAUGGACGAAAGUCUGACGGAGCAACGCCGCGUGAGUGAUGAAGGUUUUCGGAUCGUAAAGCUCUGUUGUUAGGGAAGAACAAGUACCGUUCGAAUAGGGCGGUACCUUGACGGUACCUAACCAGAAAGCCACGGCUAACUACGUGCCAGCAGCCGCGGUAAUACGUAGGUGGCAAGCGUUGUCCGGAAUUAUUGGGCGUAAAGGGCUCGCAGGCGGUUUCUUAAGUCUGAUGUGAAAGCCCCCGGCUCAACCGGGGAGGGUCAUAGGAAACUGGGGAACUGGAGUGCAGAAGAGGAGAGUGGAAUUCCACGUGUAGCGGUGGAAUG